AUUGAACGCUGGCGGCAUGCCUAACACAUGCAAGUCGAACGGCAGCACGUUUUAGUUUACUAGAAUGGUGGCGAGUGGCGCACGGGUGAGUAAUGCGUAGGAAUAUACCUUGAAGUGGGGGAUAACUUGGGGAAACUUAAGCUAAUACCGCAUACGCCCUACGGGGGAAAGAAGGGGAUCGCAAGACCUUUUGCUAAUAGAUGAGCCUGCGUAGGAUUAGCUAGGUGGUGGGGUAAAAGCUCACCAAGGCGACGAUCCUUAACUGGUUUGAGAGAAUGAUCAGUCACACUGGAACUGAGACACGGUCCAGACUCCUACGGGAGGCAGCAGUGGGGAAUAUUGGACAAUGGGCGAAAGCCUGAUCCAGCAAUACCGCGUGUGUGAAGAAGGCCUUAGGGUUGUAAAGCACUUUCAAUUGGAAGGAAAACCUCGAAGCUAAUACCUUCGAGUUUGACAUUACCUUUAGAAGAAGCACCGGCUAACUCCGUGCCAGCCGCCGCCGUAA
rnacentral:rRNA from 1 species